rfam:Loxodonta africana unplaced genomic scaffold scaffold_38, whole genome shotgun sequence.
GCUGCAGUGGCUAAGCAUUUGGCUGCUAACCAAAAGGUGGGCAGUUCAAAUCCACCUGCUGCC